rnacentral:rRNA from 1 species
AGUGAACGCUGGCGGUAGGCCUAACACAUGCAAGUCGAACGGCAGCACAGUAAGAGCUUGCUCUUACGGGUGGCGAGUGGCGGACGGGUGAGGAAUACAUCGGAAUCUACUUUUUCGUGGGGGAUAACGUAGGGAAACUUACGCUAAUACCGCAUACGACCUACGGGUGAAAGCAGGGGAUCUUCGGACCUUGCGCGAUUGAAUGAGCCGAUGUCGGAUUAGCUAGUUGGCGGGGUAAAGGCCCACCAAGGCGACGAUCCGUAGCUGGUCUGAGAGGAUGACCAGACACACGGGAACUGAGACACGGGCCAGCCCCCGACGGGAGGCGCAAGGGGGGAUUAUUGGAAAAGGGGCGAAAGCCUGACCCAGCAAUCCCGGGGGGGGGAAGAAGGCCUUCGGGUUGUAAACCCUUUUUGUGGGGAAAGAAAAAAAGCGGUUUAAACCCCGGUUGUUCUGAGGGUACCAAAAAAAAAAGCACCGGCUAACUUCGUG